CGUAACCGGGCUGAAGUCGUACCGUAAGGAGCGGUGGACUGGUUACGAGUGAGAAUGUUGGCAUCAGUAGCGAGAUGUGGGUGAGAAUCCCACAGGCCGAAAACCUAAGGUUUCCUCAGGAAGGUUCGUCCGCUGAGGGUUAGUCGGGACCUAAGCCGAGGCCGAAAGGCGUAGGUGAUGGACAACUGGUUGAUAUUCCAGUACCACUACCAUCGUUAUUAUCGAUGGCGUGACGCAGGAGGAUAGUGUGUGCUAGCUAUUGGAUGCUAGUCUAAGCGUUUAGGCAGUGAGAGUAGGCAAAUCCGCUCUCAUAAUGCUGAGGCGUGAUGGGGAAGGUUCUACGGAACCGAAGUACAUGAUUCCACGCUGCCAAGAAAAGCGUCUAGAGAGAGAAGUAGUGCCCGUACCGCAAACCGACACAGGUAGGUGAGGAGAGAAUCCUAAGGCCGGCGGAAGAAUUACAGUUAAGGAACUCGGCAAAUUGACCCCGUAAGUUCGCGAGAAGGGGUGCCUACGAGAGUAGGCCGCAGAGAAUAGGCCCAAGCAACUGUUUAGCAAAAACACAGGUCUCUGCUAAAGCGUAAGCUGAUGUAUAGGGGCUGACGCCUGCCCGGUGCUGGAAGGUUAAGGGGAACACUUAGCGCAAGCGAAGGUGUGAACUUAAGCCCCAGUAAACGGCGGCCGUAACUAUAACGGUCCUAAGGUAGCGAAAUUCCUUGUCAGGUAAGUUCUGACCCGCACGAAUGGCGUAAUGACUUGGGCACUGUCUCAACUGUAAAUCCGGCGAAGUUGUAGUGCGAGUGAAGAUGCUCGCUACCCGCGAUUGGACGGAAAGACCCCGUAGAGCUUUACUGUAGCUUAGCAUUGAGUUUUGGUAUUGUCUGUACAG
rnacentral:rRNA from 1 species